GGCAGGCCUGGGCCAGUCUUCAGAGACCUGAGAUUAAACUUGAAUCACUGAAAGAAGAUAUUAAGGAAUUCUUUAAAAUAUCAGGUUGGGAGAAGAAACUUCAGAAUGCUGUUUAUAGUGAACUGAGUGUGUUUCCUUUACCUAGUCAUCCUGCUGCACCUCCUGAACAUCUUAAAGAACCUUUGGUAUACAUGAGGAAAGCACAGGGAAGUUGGGAAAAAAGAAUUUUGAAGAGUUUAAAUAGUAUGUGCACUGAACUAAGUAUCCCGCUGGCACGAAAGAGGCCAGCUGGAGAACAGAAAGAACUUCUUAAUAAAUGGAAUGAAAUGGGAACUGAUGAACCAGAUUUAAGCCUUUUCAGACCUGUUUAUGCACCUAAGGAUUUUCUUGAGGUAUUAAUUAAUCUUCGCAACCCAAAUUAUGAAAACGGUGAUUCUCUUAGUUUCAGGACUCAUUUGGGUUUAAUUCAAGUUCCACUGAAAGUAAAAGACAUCCCUGAAUUGGGAGCUCUUGGUAGAAGUGCUUCAAACAAGGUCAUAAACAAGAAGCAAAACAUGAGACCCAGAAAACAGGAUCCCAACCAAAGAGAAAGAGAAUUUCCACAAAUGAUAGUGAAGAGAAGUUCCAGGACAAAGGCUGUACAACUGGACUGAAACACAACAACCCUAGAUUGGAGCAGGAGGUUGGAAGGUUCCAGGAUGGAUGCCUGCAA
rnacentral:sRNA from 1 species